GUUUUGGAGAAAUGGCUUUAUAGCCGAAACUAAAAGGUCCUAUCUGUUUCUUUUUUCUUGUUUCUUCUUUGUUGCUUUUUUUGCUCUGUUUGUCCUUGCUGUUUUCUUGUAUUGCAGGUUCGGGCAAAGUCAACUUGCUGCAUUGGUGCAAGGUCGUACCAGAAGAGCAGACCUCGGGCGGUGGGCGUGCUGACAAUGCACAUGGGAGCAACGGCGCGAGGCAAGGGCAGGGAACCCUAGGGUUCCCUGUGCUGUUUAAUUUUUGGGCCCCAAUGGGCCGUUUUAGAUUUUGGGCUUUGGGCUAUUAGGUAUUUGUUUUUGUAAUUGGGCCCCGGGUUAAUAUUUUUGGCACUAGGCCCGGGUAAAAUUGGGUCUGUACAGCUGCCCCUCUUUGCUUGUUAUCGUGUAAUGAGAACAGAGCAAAGACUAAGAAAGACCAAUUUUGCCCGGUCUCGCCGAAUCUUGACCUCUUGGUGCCCUUCUUCUUCAGGUAGUCUCCUUCCAGUCCACUGUGUCUUGUUGCUUCAACCCACUCUACUACACUUUAGAGAGUUUUAACUUGUAGCUUCAAUUUUCUUCGCAACAAUUUCAGGGGGAUGAAGUUUGUGGUUUUAGUCUACUCCGCUGCAACGUCAGGGAGAUAAGACUUGAUGCGAUCUGCUCUACUGCAACUUCAGAGAGAUAAGAUAUGUGGUUUUAAUCCGCUCUACUACAACUUUAGGGAGAUAAGAUUGGUUUCUUCUGUCUGCUUCACUACUACUUAGGGAGAUUAUACUUGAUACGAUCUACUCUACUGCAACUUUAGAGAGAUAAGAUCCUUUAUUUUAAUCCGCUUCACUAUAACUUCAGAGAGAUAGGAUAGUGUCUUCGAUCUGCUCCGCUGUAAUCUCAGGGGGAUAAGAUCUUUGGCUUCAAUCUGUUCCACUGUAACCUCAGGGAGAUAAGAUCUGAAAUUCUUCGGUCUACUCCACUGUAACCUCAGGGAGAUAAGACCUGAUGCGAUCUACUCUACUGUAACUUCAGAGAGAUGAGAUCCUUUAUUUUAAUCCGCUCCACUGUAACUUCAGGGAGAUAGGAUUACUAGCUCCAAUCUGCUCCACUGUAACCUCAGGGAGAUAAAAUCUGAAAUUCUUCGGUCUACUCCACUGUAACCUCAGGGAGAUAAGACUUGCAUAUUCAACCUGCUCCACUGUAACUUCAGGGAGAUAAGGUUUGUGGCUUCGAUCUGCUCCUCUGUAAUCUCAGGGAGAUAAGAUCUGAAAUUUUUCGGUCUACUCCACUGUAACCUCAGGGAGAUAAGACUUGCAUAUUCAACCUGCCCCACUGUAACUUCAGGGAGAUAAGGUUUGAUGCGAUCUACUCCGCUGUAACUUCAGAGAGAUAGGAUCCUUUAUUUUAACCCGCUCCACUAUAACUUCAGGGAGAUAAGAUAGUGUAAUCGAUCUGCUCCGCUGUAAUCUCAGGGAGAUAAGAUCUCUGGCGUCAAUCUGCUCCACUGUAACCUCAGGGAGAUAAGAUCUGAAAUAUUCACUGAUCUGUUCUCUGGGGAACAUGACCUAUAUAAUGAACCUAAUUAUGCCUAAUGAUUAGGAUGACAUAAUCAAAAUGAAUCAAAUGCUCCUAACUAGACAUGUGUGAAUGGUGUUUGCAUGAAUGCAGAAUUUUAUUUUUUGAGACUGAUCCUGCUUAGGUUGUCAUUAUUCAAAGCUUAUUAAGGCUUUGUAACUGACGUGUUACAGCACCUUUUUGCUUGACUGGCUUUUCUAGAGAAACAAUUAGCCAGGUUGCCCCCCACUGUAAACCUCAAAGUUUAAUUCAUUAGGGCGCACAAUUUGUGCCAUCAUUCUCCCACUACAAUCCCAGGGUAGAACUAUGCGGCUUUUAUCUCAAUCCUAUCUUAUCACGAAUCGAGGAUACAUGACUAAAUUGUUCUGGUUUCUUACACCAUUUUCAGGGUGUCAUACCAAAGACUUAUGCGCAGAUGAAGGCUCCCUUCUCCGAGGUAACUUCUUCCUACUGCCUGAUGAUUAUUGCUUGCUUGUUCAUUCCAGCUUUGUCGUUAAGCCGUCAUCUUAUCAUUUUGUUCAAUCAACGCAUUUGACAACGAAAUCUAAAGAGAAAGUCCAAAUUUAGACUAUUCCUUCUCAAAUUUCCAACCUUUACCUGGUGUGUUCUAAACAAUCGUCCUGUUUCAGGUUCCUGUGAUAUUUAGAAACUUUCUAGAGUAAUAUGCAAAACUUCCUUUGUGAAAGUUUUAUUAGUCCAUUAAUCAUUAUUCCAAUGCAACACGCUUGCAAAAAUGGUAAUAACAAUGGAUAAGAAUAAAGUUGGUCUUGAGCAUAGCUCGAAAGAACAAAUUAUCGAAAAUAGUAAAGAAGGACGACAAAUGAAUUAAUUGGGAAGGUAUAUCUUGGAAAGGAAAAAAGUAUUCUAAGAACAACAAAUAGCAAGAUCACCACAUGCCCCAAUAUAAUCAAAAUUCAAAUCGCUCUGAUCGCCUCAUGCCCCAUUCUGAACAAGUAUUUGAGCCGCCCUUUUCGGGUUUUCAACUCAAAUCCCCUUUGGCCUAAGGCGCCCUUUCCGGGUUUUCCCCUUAGCCUCUCCAUUUUUCAUUUUCAUUUUUCAUUCUCAUUUUUCAUUUUUCAUUCUCAUUUUUCAUUUUUUUGACUCAGAGUGCCCUUUGUGGGUUUUCACCUUGGUCCUUUCUUCUUCUUUAAACGAAGUAUUUCUUAACUGGAUCUGAGUUUAUAGUACUAGCAAUCUCACUCAGGAUCAGUUCUCCUCUGAAAAAUGUCUUCUUUACAACGUAGGGACAUUCUCGGUUUGGCAUUCAUUUCUCUCUGGAAUCCUUUUGGAGAGGAAUGAUCUUUUUCGACAUCCAACCCUCUCGUGGAAUUCUCUGAGAUGACACUGUUCAUUACGGGCUCGUAUCAUUUGUUUCUGGUACAUCCGACCCUGAAGAAUAGCUUUUAACCUUUUUCUUAGGUUCAACUGAUCGCAUCGCGAUUGGAUCCAUUCUACUUUAUCCAAUUCUAGCUCAACUAAUACCCGGAGAAAAAGGAUUUUAAUAGGUAAAACUAUCUAAACCCCGCAAACCAAAGAGAAAGGUAUUGCCCCGGUAAAGAUGUUCGACAAGCAAGGAAGGCAAGUAAUUUCUCAUGCCAAUCCUUGUAAGUCUUAGUCAUUUUCCUUCAAUUUUCGAUUUUCAACUCUAGGAAAUUCAAUGACGAAUCGUGGUGUCCACUUCUGAGUUAAUUUGAGACCUCAGCGAUCGUGUUAUUGUUUAAGCUCAAUGCAUUCUCCAAUGCCCUCUUCUCUGAAAUUCUGUAUCGGUAUACGAUGACUUUGGCUCAUGAAGUAGCCUCUUAAAAUGAAGCAAUGCCCAUUAGAAGUCUUCGAUAAUGGUGAUGUCCAUGCCUCAUUGUGUUCGAAAUUUAAGUCGCCCUUUUCGGGUUUUCAACUCAAAACCUCAUUUGGUCACAAAGCGCCCUUUGCGGGUUUUUGCUUUGGCCUCUCCUUUUAUUUUUCUUUUCUUUUUCAUUCUGAUUUUUUUCAUCUAGAUUUCUCUUUUUUCAUUCUUCUUUCUUUUUCUCAUUUUCAUUUUCAUUUUGAUCUUGAUUUUGAUUUUUUUCUUCUUUCUUCUUUUUGUUUUUUAUUUUGAUUUUUGAUUUUUGAUUUUUUAUUUUCAUUUUGACUUUGAUUUUGAUUUUUUCUUUUUCUUCCCUUUUUUGAUCUGAGCCUUUUGGGGCGCAACUACGACAGAAAACUUUGGAUCUUCCUCUUUAAUCAGGAUGGACCCAACAACAACUUGAAGAGGUAGAAAUUCGACUUCAAAUGGGCAAAGCUAUGCUGACUCCACGAGAAAGGCAUUGCCCCAGCAAAGAAUUACAUCGUUCAUAUUGCAAAUUUCUAACAUCGUGCUGUUGUGCAGAUUUCAUUAUUGGCGUUUAACCUGGGGCAUAUCCUGGUAUGAUCAUACGAAGACAUCUUUGAACCCUAGAGGUCACUCAAUAAGGUGUUGCUUCGUCUCUGCGGUCAGGUCAAUUCUAAUCUUUACCACGCUCACAAUUUCUAAUGAUUCUUUGUGAGGUAGGAUCUGUCUAUCCUUUUAUUCAACCAUCCUUAACAAGUCAGGAGAUAAACUACAAUAUUUGUCAUUUUCAAAGGCCUGAGAUCCCUCUGAACACAUGCCUCGCUCAAAAGGAAAAUCUGGGUCUGUAGCAGAGUCAUUCACGUCAUUGAUAUCCAGGGACUCAUAAUAAGUACCAAAGAAUAUACAAAAGAAAGUAUAAAUUUAUGAAUAAUUAUUUACACAAUAUGAUUAUGAAUGAAUGAUGUGGAAGAAAAUCUAAAAGAAUGAAAUAAUCAGAAAUAAUUAUUCAAAAGAAUGAAAGAAUAUUGGCUCAAAAAGGAAUGCAAAUAUGUAUUUUAUUAGAAUAAUGACGUUCAGACAUUAGCCUAUUUCACAAAGGAAUUUCUACCGCUUUAGGUUAAAAACAACAAAAAUGUUCUGAACAUUACUCUAAAUAAGCCCUGAUAACUACAGGGAUUUCUUCCGCAGUCUAAUUAUUCAAAACACUCUCAAGGUUAGAAGGGCGAGCAUCUAAUAAGAUCUCUUCUCCAGUUGUUUCUUCAUAUUCGGCACUGAUGUGAACAUUUCCCAACAUUUCUUCAUUCAUCGCAUUCCCUUCAUUAUCCGUAUGAUUGAGCAGCGGGUUUUCUGUACUGAUUGAAUCAUCAAAUUUGACAAUGCCCAUAUUGAUAAACCUUUCGACCAACUUUUUAAAGGCAGUGCAGUUUUCUAUAGAAUGCCCCGUAAUUCUCGCAUGGUAGUCGCAUUACGCAUUCAUAUCGUACCAUUUGGGAUAAGGAGGUUGUAAAGGGGUCAAGUAACGAGGAGCAACAACAUGCGCAUCGAACAAGCUUUGAUACAGCUCCUUAUAUGACAUCGAAAUUGGUGUGAACUGGAGCUUCUCAGUACCUAGUUUCACUCCAGAUUCUUGCUUUAAAGGGCUCUGAUGGCUGGUGGUAGUCUUUGGCCUGCCCACGGUGAUUGGUUUUGAGUGGCCCUUGUUAUAUCCGCCUACAUUAUCCCUUUUAUUCCCCUUCUUCCUUGGAGACUUUGUAGUAUCUGGGUACUCUACCCUCAUCUGCUUUAUUUCGGCUAGAUUAGCAACAUGAUUAGCUAAAUCGUUCCUCAAAUUAGAUCCUAAGCCUGUCAGGCACUUCACUGGUGUCGAUGUACCAGUCUGAUAAUAUUGGGAUCUGAUAGUAAAGUGUGCCCCUUGUGGGCGCCCAUCUGGCUGGACCUGGACACUUGUCGAAGUACAAUCUAAUGAAUAGACAAGAUCUUCAUUAUUAACCCCAAAGUAAACCACUGAGUAUUUCACUUCUUUUGACUUUCCAGCUAGCAAUCGGUUGAACUGGUUUAUCAUAGUUCUCCGUAAUUCUAGCAUCUGAUUUCCCAUCUCCUGUUGAAAUUCAGUCAAUUGCUCCUGCAUCUGAAUUUGCAUUCGCUCUAAUUUUUCCAACCUUCGUUCCAUUUCUCUAGUUUUUGCUUGGAUAUCGUAAGGGUGUUUGGUUGGUUGGUUUUCCAGGUUAGCUGAAAUAAAUUUACUCGUUUAGACUCUUUCAAUGGAUUUUAAUGAAUGUAAUGCAAAUGCAUGAAAUGAAUGCCUAAAGAGACGCUGAUUCUGAUUCAAUUACAUUUAGAAAACUUUUCUAGAAAGCAAAUUCCUUUACAUAAAGUAGAGGCAUGUACGGCUUCGCCCUUAUAUUUCAAGAGAUAUUAUCGAUCUUUUUCUUCAUCCGCACGUUUGAGGUAAUCUCGCCAAUUUCCAAUAGAUGCCACUGCUAACUCAUUUUCUUGAUCUUGGUCGCGAUCCACCAUCUACCCGUCUUCAUAAGGCUCAUCAGCUUCUAAAAGGGGGUUGGAACGUCGAAGGCUCUUAGAUAAUCACCUGGAAUCCUCAGCCACGAAACAAGGUCACGAACUCUUCGAUCGCCUUCUUGUGUUUCUAAGAAUAUAUUCAGGUAGUCGUAUUGUUUUCCACUUUAUCAAGGAAUUCGUAUUCCAUGACAAGCUUUCUAAGUUAGUAAUCAAACUUGAAUCAAUAUCUCUUUCCUAAUAUGCAAAUGCAAUGCGAUCAAAACACAACAAGAGGGGUUAGUACAAAAUAUAAGCAAUGAAACAAAACUACCUAAUCGGGUAACUACUAGGGAUUUGGAGUGGCUCUACCUAGGGUGGGCUCCUAAGGUUCACUACAUGUGGUAUGGCUCUAGAGAUAAGGUACCUGAACCAGUAGAUUCCUCGAUCCUCACCCAUUAUAGGCUCAUACAGACCGAGUUCGGUUCAGGGGAAUACAUUUCCCUAUGGCUACACGGAGAAGAAAAUCUCACGAAGACAUAGGUACGAAUGUAUCCCGAAAGUGAUCCACUAUCCUGCACGGAGGUGAAAACCUCACGAAGAACUAGUUUCUCACUCCCACCUAAAAAGGAAUAAUCGAGCGACUAUAUAAUGCAAUAUGCAGAAAUAUAUCAAAAUUCAAACCAAUAGAGCAAAUACAAACCGAAGUAAUGAUAAUAGUAACAAAAACGGACAAACAUACAACAAAAUGACCGUAGAUUUAAACCAAGCUUUCAGGUGACCUCUAGGCAUUUGGUGUUGUUCUACCUAGGGUAGGCUCUUAAGGCUCAUUAUAUGCGGUUCGGUUCUAGAGUAAGGGUACCUGAACUAGCAGAUUCCUCGAUCCUCACCUAUUAUAGGCUCAUAUGGACCGAGUUCAUUUCAGGGGAAUACAUUUCCCUAUGGCCAUGCGGAGAUGAAAAUCUCACGAAGACAUAGGUACGGAUGUAUCCCGGAAGCGAUUCACUAUCCCAUGCGGAGGUGAAAACCUCAUGAAGGCGUAGUUUCUCACUCCCACUAAAAAGGGUGUGACCAAUGGUCAUGCAAUGCAAUGUGCAGAAAUAUACAUCUAAAUGCAGUAAUUAUAAACAAAAUGAUAAAGACUGAAAUAAAUACAAAUGAAAUGCAACACAAGGAUCGUGUCAAGUUUUCAAUCUUUGACAAAAAGACAAUGUAAUCAACACAUGGCUCGACUCUCUUAUUUUUUUGUCCCCAGUGGAGUCGCCAAGCUGUUGACACCAUUUUUUGGAUUGAAAACGGGGUCGACUUGGGUUUUAAAAAAAGAAACGGGAGUCGCCACCAAUCUUUUUAAUGAGGUGUGAUUGGAUCUCCUCGAAAAGUGGUUGUUUUUAAUAAAUGGUUUGAUUUUAUUAAAACAACAAGUUUCGUCCACGAAAUUCAGAAAAACAGGUUCGGGAGUCGGUUACACACGAGGAAGGAUUAGCACCCUCGAUACGCCCAAAAUUGGUACCUAGUUGAUUACUUAAUGUCUUAGUGUCGAAAAACUGAAAACUUUAAAGAAAUUUAAAAAUACGAUCCUUGUAUUAAAAUGUUGAAAAUUUUGGAAAAAGGGGGACGUUCCACGUUAAUCGAGAAAGAAAGCAUCAUAUCCAGUAAGUUAGGACACAAUUCUCGAAUUCCCGAUUAUGCGAAUGAAUGUCAAAAUUUACUUAUUUAAAAGAUGUUUAAUUAUCUCGGGUUUAAAAAAGGAGAACAUGCCUAGUAAGUUAGGGCACGAUCUUUUCUUAAUUCACGAGAUUGUUUAAAACUUGAGUUUGAAAAGAUUCGUGUAUUUAGAUUUAUUAUGAAAAUCGAAACCCAAUAAGUUAGGGUACAAUAUUCUCAAAUCUAAACACGAAGUGCCAUUUUUUAAAACAAAUUUUGUUAUAUCGAGUGAAAUAAAAACACGAAGUCGUAGUAAAAAAUGUGAAAGCAAAUUACAUUAUUAUACAUGGCAAAACCAUGAUGAAUACAAAAGUAUAAAAAUAAUACGGGCAAUAAUAAAAUAAAGAAAAAGAACAAUCGAUAACAUGUGAAAUAAUAAACCGUAACAUAUAAAUAAAAUGCACAAAUACGUAUAAAUAUUAUAUAAAUAUAUAUAUAUAUAAAAUAUAUAUAAAAAUGUGCAUGUGAGAUAUAAAAAAAUAAAAAUAAAAUAAGAUAAAUAUAUAUAUAUAGAUAUAAAAGAAGCCAUAUAAAAUAUAUAAAUAUGUAUGCGUAUAUUCGUGAGAAAAAAUGGAAAGUAUAUAUAUAUACAUAUAUAUAGAUAUACAUAUAUAAAAAAGGUAUUUAUGUAAAUAUUAAAUAAGUUAGAAAAAGGAUGCAUAUACAUAUACGUAUAUACAUAUAUAAGCAAAUAUAGAAUAAUAUUAAUAUAAUAAGACACAUACAUUUAAAAUUACAUAAGUAAAUAUAAAUGAAAAUAUAUAAUGAGAAUAACAAUGAUAUAUAAUAAUAAUAAUAAUAAUAAUAAUAAUAAUAAUAAUAAUAAUUGGUAAUAAUAAUAACAACAUCAAAUUUGUUAACUUUAAUAAUAAACUAACCAAAAUAACGAAAAAGGACUAAAUUUGCAUUUUAAAAUAAGAUUUUGGGGCGAAUCAGAAAAUAAAUAAAGUAUAAUGACCGAACUGAGUGCGUGCAUAAAGAAAAGGGACUAAAUGGGGAAUAUUCCCGUCCUCCAGAACGCAGCACUCUACUUGAGGUUAAAAUGAAGUCAAAAUAAAAUUUCAAGGCCAAAAUCAGGAAUGAAAUAAAUUUAAUUGCCAAUCCCUAAAAGCCCAAGGGACUAGAGCUGAAAAUAACCCCAGUAGACCCAAAACACGCGGAUCUGAUAGCGGUCGGGUCGGGUCAUGCAGGUACAGGCCUUGUACGACGUCGUUUUGAGGCCACUGCCAUAGGCUUCAAACGACGCUGUUUCUUAGCAAACAAAAUUACCCUAAUCAGCAGGGUUUUCCCAUUUUUCAAACAAAACUAAAAGGCCAAACCAGCCUUCUCUCCGCCGCAACAGAGCAGCCCCUCUUCAACUUCGAUUCCGACGAAGUGAGCGAGGUCCGGCGACAUGUUUUGAGAAGGUAAGACUCCCCUCUCCUUCCUCUUUUGUUUUAUUUUGCAAAUGUAUGUAAAAAACGAAAAAGAACCGAAGAAAAAAAAAGUAAGUCGGAAACCACCUUAUUUUCUAUUCAAUUUCUCUGUGUUUUUUUUGUAAAAUAUCUCCUCCCUUUUAUUAUUUUUGAUCUAUAAAAUACGUAUAUAAAAUAAAAUAAAAAGCAAAUAACAAAAAAAGACGAAAGAUUCAAACCUAAAAACCUUUCCAGAAUUCGAUCUCUAUUUUUUUAUUUCUUUGUUUCAAACCCUGUUUUUUCGAUACAAAAAUCCCCCCUUACAAUCGUUUUGGAGAAAUGGCUUUAUAGCCGAAACUAAAAGGUCCUAUCUGUUUCUUUUUUCUUGUUUCUUCUUUGUUGCUUUUUUUGCUCUGUUUGUCCUUGCUGUUUUCUUGUGUUGCAGGUUCGGGCAAAGUCAACUUGCUGCAUUGGUGCAAGGUCGUACCAGAAGAGCAGACCUCGGGCGGUGGGCGUGCUGACAAUGCACAUGGGAGCAGCGGCGCGAGGCAAGGGCAGGGAACCCUAGGGUUCCCUGUGCUGUUUAAUUUUUGAGCCCCAAUGGGCCGUUUUAGAUUUUGGGCUUUGGGCUAUUAGGUAUUUGUUUUUGUAAUUGGGCCCCGGGUUAAUAUUUUUGGCACUAGGCCCGGGUAAAAAUGG
rnacentral:lncRNA from 1 species